rnacentral:rRNA from 1 species
UACAGAGGUCCCGAGCGUUGUUCGGAUUCACUGGGCGUAAAGGGUGCGUAGGCGGUCGGGUAAGUCUGAUGUGAAAUCUCACAGCUUAACUGUGAAACUGCAUUGGAUACUAUCCGGCUCGAGGAAUGGAGGGGAGACUGGAAUACUUGGUGUAGCAGUGAAAUACGUAGAUAUCAAGUGGAACACCAGUGGCGAAGGCGAGUCUCUGGACAUUUCCUGACGCUGAGGCACGAAAGCCAGGGGAGCAAACGGG